rnacentral:lncRNA from 1 species
AGAAAAAUGAUUUGCAUUUAAUGUUUCUUCUUGGAAACUAAGGACAAAAUGAAGCCAUAGAGCAGUAUACCUAGAAAAUGCUUAAACAUUUUCUCUUAUUCUACAACAGAAAUAUGCAAAAUUCAACACAGAAGGAGAAGAAAAUGGGAGCUUAAAUGUAUCUGUCCUAUACAUAUCAGGAAACAGGAUAUAAUCUGGCAACUGUACAGCUGGAGAUAUCUAACUUUUCUAAAGUUUCCAAGCCCCAGAAAGGUCUGCACAUGCCUCCUCUGCAAAAGCAAGCACAGCUCUGCUCAGCUCCAGAACAGGAAAGACCAUCACUGCACCGCUGCUCUGCUACCACUUAUCACCCUGUCGCCUACCUGGCUGAUCAACUGGAUCAGUCACCCACCUUUAGUCAGACAAGGCUCACAGAAGUGUAGUGAGCCAUACAGCUAAUGUAGUGGUAGAUAAACAUGAAGCAAAGCCUCAGAAGUCAUCCAAAAGCUGACACCUAUCUUAUAGUCUCAGCUGCACAGUAUAUAUAAAACAAGAGAUGGAGUCAAGAUAUAAAAUGUAAAAAAUCAUCACUAAAAUUUAAUUGGCAGAUUGGUACCAGUGUGAUACAGAAGGCUCUAUUAUUUCCUUCCUAUAAAGGAAUGUGUGUCCCUUAUUAACUGUAUUGCAUUCCCUUCCAGUUUCACUGCAAACCCAGUCAGGUGGAUAAAGAGAUAAUUGCUCAUAUAGUUGUUCAAGAAAGAAAAAUUAAAAAACAAACAAACAAACAAAAACAAAAACAUUGCCCUUGGUAAAAUGAUUUGAAGCAUUAAAGAUUACAUCAUCCUGGCAUCCUCACAUUUUUGCUGCAGAAGGGUAGGAGAAAAAGCAACUGAUUCCAUAGGAUAUACAGCACUAUUAGGCUAUGAAGGACUCAGAUUUACAGAGAUUUAUACAAAGCAAUGCCCCUUAUUUUAUUAAGGUUCUGUAUUUUUAGAAAGUAAUAAUGAAAUGUUUUGAUCAGUUUAACACCCCUCCCUCUGCCAGAAAAUUGUCAGUUCAUCAUAAAAGUGGCUGCCAAAACAUGCCUAUACAGAAAAAUAUUUUGCAACACCUCUCUGCAAUGUAUGUUACCUCCCUCCUUCUGUAAUUGUUAUAUCCGUAUUGGUUAAAAAAUAAAAGAGAAUUUGGAUAACA